CAUUUGAUUCUGAUUUUUGUUUUUUUUUUCCAGGUAUCAUUUAGGAGCGGAUUUGUUAAGCUCGGGUUCGGUAGUUGGGGAAUCGUUAUUGAAAGAUCUUUGGCAACAUCAAGACGCCAUUUUGUGUUGUUCUCUAAAGCCGUAAAGCAAUCACCAGUCAGAGUUGUCUGUCAGAGAGCUUGCUUUUUGCAUGCAGCCGUAAAUCAAUAAUAACUAUUCAGAGUUGUCUGACAUGGAGCAUGCUUGGAAGUCUAUAAAUUCAACAUCAAGCUCAACACUCUACAAGCACUCAACUGAGAUGAUUUAAACCUUCAAAUUAAUAUCAAUACUCCUUUCGUCUGGGUCUUGCGUUGUUUCUCGGCUCUUCACAUCAAGGUCUUACAUUUUUUGUCGGCUUUUUACAUCUCUCUCUUGCAUUGUUAGGGAUUUCAAGACAAAAUACGAAGGUGUUGGUACAUCUCGCCAAAGAUUUCAAACAACGUGGAGUUUACACAUCAAAUGUUGUCUACCAGGAAGUGUUGCGUGAUUAAUUAACCGCAUCCGUAUCAAAACGAAGUAGAGGAGAAGAUACAAGAAAGUCUUGAGCGAACGGAUGUAUUGGUAAAACAGGAAGAGAUACAAGAGACUCCACGUAUUUUGUUUUUAGCGUUUUGUCCAGCUACUUGCCUGAUUUGUACUCUUCUUGUUUUUAAUUACAUCUACUUCCUUGUUUUGUA